CCUACGGGUGGCAGCAGUGAGGAAUAUUGGUCAAUGGACGAGAGUCUGAACCAGCCAAGUAGCGUGAAGGAUGACUGCCCUAUGGGUUGUAAACUUCUUUUAUAUGGGAAUAAAAUGUUCCACGUGUGGGAUUUUGUAUGUACCAUAUGAAUAAGGAUCGGCUAACGCCGUGCCAGCAGCCGCGGUAAUACGGAGGAUCCGAGCGUUAUCCGGAUUUAUUGGGUUUAAAGGGAGCGUAGGUGGAUUGUUAAGUCAGUUGUGAAAGUUUGCGGCUCAACCGUAAAAUUGCAGUUGAAACUGGCAGUCUUGAGUACAGUAGAGGUGAGCGGAAGUCGUGGUGUAGCGGUGAAAUGCUUAGAUAUCACGAAGAACUCCGGUUGCGAAGGCAGUUCACUGGACUGCAACUGACACUGAGGCUCGAAAGUGUGGGUAUCAAACAGGAUUAGAUACCCCAGUAGUC
rnacentral:rRNA from 1 species